AGAACGAACGUUAGCGGCGCGCCUAACACAUGCAAGUCGCACGAGAAAGGGCUUCGGCCCCGGUACAGUGGCGCACGGGUGAGUAACGCGUAGAUAAUCUUCCCUCGGGUGGUGGAUAACUCUCCGAAAGGAGAGCUAAUACAGCAUGAGACCACGGCUUCACUGAAGCUGCGGCCAAAGCAGGCCUCUAUACAUAAGCUUGCGCCUGAGGAUGAGUCUGCGGCCCAUCAGCUAGUUGGUAGGGUAAUGGCCUACCAAGGCUAAGACGGGUAGCUGGUCUGAGAGGAUGAACAGCCACACUGGAACUGAGACACGGUCCAGACUCCUACGGGAGGCAGCAGUGGGGAAUCUUGCGCAAUGGGCGAAAGCCUGACGCAGCGACGCCGCGUGAGCGAUGAAGGCCUUCGGUUGUAAAGCUCUGUGGGAGGAAAGAAGUAAGGUUAGGCUAAUAUCCAACCUGAUGACGUACCUCCUUAGCAACG
rnacentral:rRNA from 1 species